UACGUAGGGGGCAAGCGUUGUCCGGAAUCAUUGGGCGUAAAGAGCGUGUAGGCGGCCCGGUAAGUCCGCUGUGAAAGUCCAGGGCUCAACCCUGGGAUGCCGGUGGAUACUCCCGGGCUCGAGCACUGUAGAGGCAGGUGGAAUUCCGGGUGUAGCGGUGGAAUGCGUAGAGAUCCGGAAGAACACCGGUGGCGAAGGCGGCCUGCUGGGCAGUUGCUGACACUGAGGCGCGAAAGCGUGGGGAGCAAACAGG
rnacentral:rRNA from 1 species